AUGAUUCUGUACAUGCUGCUUCUCAGACUGACCUUUUUCCACCUUAAAAUGACAAGAAUUUAUUCAGAAGACAUCGGAGCAAUUACGACUCCUGUCAUAGAAGUGCCUGUAACAAUA